GACGAACCGUGCGAACGUUAUUCGGAAUCAUUGGGCGUAAAGAGCGUGUAGGCGGCUCGGUAAGUCCGCUGUGAAAGUCCAGGGCUCAACCCUGGAAUGCCGGUGGAAACUGUCGAGCUAGAGUCCGGAAGAGGCGAGUGGAAUUCCUGGUGUAGCGGUGAAAUGCGCAGAUAUCAGGAGGAACACCAAUGGCGAAGGCAGCUCGCUGGGACGGUACUGACGCUGAGACGCGAAAGCGUGGGGAGCAAACAGG
rnacentral:rRNA from 1 species